GAUGAACGCUGGCGGCGUGCCUAAUACAUGCAAGUCGAGCGAACAGACGAGGAGCUUGCUCCUCUGACGUUAGCGGCGGACGGGUGAGUAACACGUGGAUAACCUACCUAUAAGACUGGGAUAACUUCGGGAAACCGGAGCUAAUACCGGAUAAUAUAUUGAACCGCAUGGUUCAAUAGUGAAAGACGGUUUUGCUGUCACUUAUAGAUGGAUCCGCGCCGCAUUAGCUAGUUGGUAAGGUAACGGCUUACCAAGGCAACGAUGCGUAGCCGACCUGAGAGGGUGAUGGGCCCCACUGGAACUGAGACACGGUCCAGACUCCUACGGGAGGCAGCAGUAGGGAAUCUUCCGCAAUGGGCGAAAGCUUGACGGAGCAACGCCGCGUGAGUGAUGAAGGUCUUCGGAUCGUAAAACUCUGUUAUUAGGGAAGAACAAAUGUGUAAGUAACUAUGCACGUCUUGACGGUACCUAAUCAGAAAGCCACGGCUAACUACGUG
rnacentral:rRNA from 1 species